rnacentral:tRNA from 1 species
UGCGGAUUAGAGGAGCGGUUUCCUUGUUAGGCUCAUACCCUAGAGACACUAGUUCGAAUCUAGUAUCCGCAACCA